UUGUGUAUUACACAUUGUUGACGUCUCCUCCAGACACCGUCCGUUUCUCUGUGUAUAUACGAUAAGAGUCCCUGUUUUAGGUAUUAAUGUGUUCUUGACUGGUGGUGUACAGGUCGCGUGUCGUCUUAAUGACCCUCGUGUGGACGAUAGACUGCACAGUAACCAACCUUGACGCCUUGUUCAUUUACGCGGUGGCAGGAAGAAUGUUUUCAGCUCGCAUGAGCUGAGUUUGUGAUCAUUCUUAUUGUUGAAUGUCCCAUCAAGUGUUGCAGCAGUCAGGUGAGAAGUCAGUGCAGAGGCAGCCAGAAGGCGAGUGUAAUACUCAAGAUGUCACCAGCCAACGACGGAAGACAGUGAAAUAAAACAGGUGGACAGUCAACCAGAAAGCGACAGUGAUACGGAAAGUGUUGCACUGCCGUCCACUGGAUGAGUAUGGAGUAGAUAGACUAUACCGUCCACAGGAUGGGUAUGGGGUACACAGUAAACUAGCCGCUUCGGCUGCAAAAUCUACAAUCUAAUCAGUGCAGUGCUGUGAAGCUUGCAGUUCCCCGUAAUGAACUGACAGAAGUGUGUUGGUCUGUCACAUUUGUGGAAAGACCUGGGAAGGAGAGACGUUCAAGGUGCAUUUGCUUAUAUGAUAAGGUGAGC